rnacentral:piRNA from 1 species
UGUCACAUGUGAAAAGUGAUAUGCAGAUGC